GCAGUCCGGUUUUUGGAGCGAAAAUACGACAUAGUCGCCCAAGGAAUCGAACUUCCCUCCGCCAAGCACGCAAUGGAAUUCUUUACACUUUCAAUGCACGAAGACACUACAGACCCCGCAUUUAAUAAACUAAUGCUCUGUACAAAAGGAACCAAAGGAGAAGUGAAUUGUUUCACUGAAAUCUUUAAAUAUAUGGCUGGAAAUUCGAAUCAUACACUGUCGGGUAUUGUGGCUGGAAUUAUUGAUUCACGGGAUCCGCCGUUCUCUGAAGCUCACACGAAGAACCUGCUUUAUAAGAGAGAUCGGCUGAAGCGACAGGUUAAAGG
rnacentral:sRNA from 1 species